rnacentral:tRNA from 1 species
GCGGACGUGGUGAAAUUGGCAGACACACCAGAUUUAGGUUCUGGCGACGAGAGUCAUGGGGGUUCAAGUCCCUUCGUCCGCACCA